rnacentral:lncRNA from 1 species
CCAGGUGCUUGGGUCUCCCGGCAAGGGCCUCCAUCGGCAGUGGUCAUAGUAGCUACGGGAGCACAGUUGUAGGUGGCGGUCUGGCAUCAUCGCUUUUGCUACUAACUGCAGGUUUGCCUCAUGCCCAUGACCAAGUGUUAGUUUUUUCUUCUGAACCGAUUCCUCUCUGCUGCGGACCACUUCGUUGCAGCUUGCAGCCCACAUCAGGGGGGUGAGCAGCUCCCAUAAGGGGAGUUCGGGGGCGGUAGUGCACUCCGGUGGGAGCAGUAGUGCACUCUGGUCAUGGUGCAGUGCACCCCGUUUCAGUAUGCCAUAUCAACACAUCUUUUGCGUUGGGCUUUCUAUCAUCUAGUGAAAAUAGCUUUCUUGUGGCCAGCUGGUGUGUGCUUGAAGCAGUCGUGUGUGUGUGUGUGGAUGUGAAGUGCAGUCAGGCGAUGUGUGCAGGUUGGGCGGGAGCCUGUUGCAGUUCAGCAACCAGCCAUACCACAAUGCAGUUUGAGAAGGUGCAUGCAUGUCCGUGUGGUCUAUGUUGUUCACUGAGUCCGACUUUCUUCUUUAUUUUGUUUGAUGCUUGCUAUGUAAAAUUUCCAAGGUCUCUUUUUGUAAUUAUUGAAAAAGUAAUGUUGUUCGUUGUGCCAUACUCAGUGGUUCACUUGUUGCUUUUUCAUAUUUCACGGCUCGUGUGCCGGUGAGCUCUCCCCCAACGCGUCGUGCAGUUCGCCGGUCCACAUCAUGUGGUUCACCGGCCGCGUGAUUGCAGUGCAGUUGAUCCCUCAUGUGCGGCGUGUGCGGCGUGCAGCUGAGAGCAAAACGGGCAUGCAGUUUAGUUUGUUAUUUGUGGGUUUUUUGUGUGUCUAUCGAAAGUAUGUGAUUGGGAUAUGAUGUAUUUUGUGUACAAAAUAUUUGUUGAGAAGUUCAUUUCAAAAAGCAUUCUAAAUGGGUCACUUUUCAAGAGAAAAAUUUGAUGGAUGCAGCCCACUUCGAGGAGUCUUGUGGUUCACUACAUUUAAUAAGGAAGAAACAAAGUGUAGUUUACUUUUUCAUUGCAAAAAGGAAGCGAUGCAGCUCACUAUAUCAAAAAGAAAUGAUGCAGUGCCCUUGAC